rnacentral:rRNA from 1 species
UACAGAGACUGCAAGCGUUACUCGGAUUCACUGGGCGUAAAGGGAGCGCAGGCGGACCGGUGUGUCAGAUGUGAAACCCCAGGGCUCAACCCUGGGACUGCGUCUGAAACUGCCGGUCUAGGGACUCGGAGGGGCUAGUGGAAUUCCUGGUGGAGCAGUGAAAUGCGUAGAUAUCAGGAGGAACACCAACGGCGAAGGCAGCUAGCUGGACGAGAUCCGACGCUCAGGCUCGAAAGUAUGAGGAGCAAAAAGG